rnacentral:tRNA from 1 species
GGAAAGUUAGUUUAGGUAAAAUUCUGUGUUGUCAACACAGUGAAGUCAAAAGUGGCACUUUCUU